rnacentral:rRNA from 1 species
GCACAAGCGGUGGAGCAUGUGGUUAAUUCGAAGCAACGCGAAGAACCUUACCAGGUCUUGACAUCCCUGACAACCCGAGAGAUCGGGCGUUCCCCUCGGGGGACAGGGUGACAGGUGGUGCAUGGUUGUCGUCAGCUCGUGUCGUGAGAUGUUGGGUUAAGUCCCGCAACGAGCGCAACCCUCGACCUUAGUUGCCAGCAUUCAGUUGGGCACUCUAAGGUGACUGCCGGCUAAAAGUCGGAGGAAGGUGGGAUGACGUCAAAUCAUCAUGCCCCUUAUGUUCUGGGCUACACACGUGCUACAAUGGCCGGUACAGACGGACGCAAAGCCGCGAGGUGGAGCAAAUCCUAAAAAGCCGGUCUCAGUUCGGAUUGCAGGCUGCAAUUCGCCUGCAUGAAGUCGGAAUCGCUAGUAAUCGCAGGUCAGCAUACUGCGGUGAAUACGUUCCCGGGCCUU